rnacentral:lncRNA from 1 species
AUGGCCGUGCCCGCCGAGCAGCCCCGGCUCCCCCCGCCUGGCUCCAGCUGCAGGGCGGGUGUCGUUCGCACGGAGCGGUUUCGAGACUUCCUGUUCGGAAGCAUCCUAAACACAGCGGCACCCGCGCCUUGUUCUCCCGUUGUUUUUCCCUCCUCACCGUCUCCUGCAGCCGGACCGAGCUCUCCCACCCGGGUUUAUCACAGAGGCGCUCGGUACAAGGCGUGGGAACCCAGCGGCUCCGUGGCCCCGCCGGCAGCUCCAUCCUCCCGCUGCCGGAGCGAUGCACCGACCCGUCCCCUGCAUCCGGCCGGAGCCCGUCGUGCUGAGCGAGCAGCGGUGCCCGGCGGGACGGCUCGGCCCUGCACAGCCGCCUUUGUGUGCGGACGGGGAGCUCCCCGGAGGCAGCCCCCACACCCCCCACCCCCCACACGGCCCCACAGUGUCGAGACGGAGCGCGGCGGCACGGCCAACUUUAGAGCAGCUCCCCCGGCACGUGGCCGCCUCCCGCUCCCGUCCCACCCGACCCCUCCAUUCCCCCCCCGCCCCGCACGGAGCUCGGGAUGCUCCCAUCCACUUCCGCGGGGCACAAAGCGCGGACGCCGCCCCCGCGGCCCGGCCGUUCCCGUUAGCUCCGCCGCCAACGCUCCCGAUUCCACGUUUUGCUUUGUUUUGGUUCUCAAUUCCCUUUUUUAUCCGCCCCCCCCUCCCCACACGCACCACAGAGGAGCUGUGGGCCGGGGGGGGGGGGGUGGUCGCGGAGCUGCAGUAUCCAUGGCAAUGCCGGAUUGCAUCAUGCUUGUCGGGAAGCGACAGGCGAUUUGGGGGCGAAAAACCCCGGCUCAGCCCCCGCCGCCCGCAGCCCCCCACACAACUGCCGACCCCAGCCCAGCCGCAGACACAGAGCCCACCCCGCGCCCUUCCUACUCCUCCUCCUCGUCCUCCUCCCGCUCUCGCACAGCCGCACCCCACCCGGCGGCCCUACCUGACGGCGCUGCGGGCGGCGGCGGCACCGUCCGGCUGUGGCACGCUGCGGGGCGACGGGGGGCGGGGGUGAGGGCGGAGCGGCGGGGCUCCACCGCCUCGUGUCCUCCCACGGACCCGCCCCCCGUGGGCUGA